GAGAAGCUGUGAGGCGACUUGGUUGGCAGUGUUUGCCUCUGUCUCAAGCAGUGGGAGAGAUGUGCGUAACAUGCAGCGGAGAGCGGUGAUCAUCAUCUGCUCGCCGCAACGCCGUGGACCGCCGUGCGCACUCGAAGAGGGAGACACAUCGAGGGGCGCAGCCCGCUUUGCCGAACCUGUCGUGAGCGACACUCUGGCAAGAGACUCUUGAAGAAAAGAAGUGAUGUGAGGAAAGAUGCCAGCCGUUCAGACGGGCAUUUGGGGUUAAUCGCCCCUCUGUUUGGAAAGCACAUUGACGCACCGGCGGCGAAGCAAGUGCGCUUUUUUUUUUUUUUGUUGUUGUUUCACGGAAUCCCACCCUUCUCGGUCACAUCUAAACCGGACUAUCAAGUGGGGAUUUUGGAUGAAAGCUGAAUUAUAUGGCCAACCGAAAAUGAGUCAGUGCGUGUCUGUGAGCUGAGGUGGAGUGUCUCUCUCCCGCUUGCAAGGCUGUCUCGGUCCGCCACAAACCUUCCCACGCCAGGAUGCAGCUGCUCAGAGUUGCGUGGGCACUGACCGGAGCGGCGAUCUGCUGCUUUCUCAUUCUCCUUAUUCACUCCCGCCUGCUCAAAGAAGGCCAGCUGGCAGCGGGGACAUGUGAGAUUGUGACGCUGGACAGGGACAGCAGCCAACCACGGCGGACCAUCGCCAGGCAGACGGCCCGCUGCGCCUGUAAGAAGGGCCAGAUCGCUGGAACUACAAGAGCUAGACCCGCCUGUGUGGACGCUGGUAUUGUUCGGAAAAAGCAGUGGUGUGAGAUGGUGCCAUGUUUGGAGGAUGAAGGUUGUGACCUGUUAGUCAAUAGAUCUGGCUGGACUUGUACACAGCCUGGAGGCCGUGUUAAAACCACCACGGCCCUAUGACGUGACAAGAGUCCCCCUCGACACUCUUGCACUAUGGAGAGCAUUGAUGACCCCUUGACAGACAGCCAAAAUCCAGCUACCAACACCACCACCACCACCAUUACAACAGCUCCACCCAUACCUCGGUCCCGCAAAGGCAGGAAGCAACACAAGCAGCUACAGAGCACCAAGGGCCUUGUGGAGGCAGUAAGGUCUCGUAACACAGCCAGAGACGGGAAAACCAGGGAGUGACUGUUUGAGGGAGUCAGCUCUCCCCACAACACUGGACAAACAUGCUAUAAAACACUUCCUGUUUCCUGUGACUGGCCACUGCGGGUUUCUGACUGCUCCCUCCUGCUAUCUGUCGUUGGGUCAACACGUUGCGUCCACCUCCUCUCCACUGUAUCUGCCUGCUCUGUGCAUUUAGCAGCACAUGCUCAUGCCACGGAGGUUUGGACACCUUAAAAAUCCCAUGAAUGGUUUUUUGCCUCAUUGGAAGUCCACUGUUUGGAGCUGCUAACUGCUUUUAAUAUGGGAUUUCCCACAUCUCUCUCCUAGACUCUAGUGCCGGAGUUCCAGAGCAUAGACAGGAUCAUUACCGAACACUCCGUGAUGCUUCUCGGACCAUCUUGCAAGGCCGUAAAAACAAACUGAGCGCACUCUGCUGUGAAUAGGCCUUCUGCUGGAGUAAACCUCCCAUAUUUUUAUAGACCAAAGAGCAAAACAACAAAUAUGAUCAUUAUGACAGAGAGGACCAUCUGGCAAAGACACACAGAAACUUCGUUAACAUGCUUUGUGUGUCACCACCGACCAACGACUGCCCCCACAGAGACUCGGUGCACAAGCAGACCGACGCAAAACAAACACUUGCAGCCGGUGGCAUAUGUGCCGAACACAAUCAAAGGAGUACUUUUAAAACUUUGCAGACAUUUUUUUUCUCAGACUAAGCUCACCACUGUAUUUUGGAACUGGACAUAUAGGUACUACAUACGUAUAACUGUGUAUCAAAAAAAGAAAAAAAAGAAAAAAAAUCCGAUUUGCAUUUUUCAGUAGCUAAAGUUGGGACAGGAAGAAUUGUUGUGUUGAUCAUGGAUGCAGAGAGCAAAUCAUAUCAGAGAAAUGAUAAAUAUCUACAGAGAGUAUUAAAUGCUGUUAAGUCUGAAAAGAAGGAGUAAAGAAAUGUCAUUAAAUGUAUUUUGAAAGGCCCUAAAAAGUUAUAUAUUUAACAGUUUUAUAUGUUGUACCUUUGUAGAGAAGCUUAUUGGACUUAAAAUGUGAUCACAAUGGCAGUUUAGUAGGAUGUGAACAAAUGCUGUUGUUCUCAUCACUGCUGGCUCGUAGUCCCAGGUUUUCCGUUCACACCUCAGUAGCCGCUUUCUUUUCAUGGUCAUCUUACAAGUCACUGUCUAUCAGAACCAUUAAUGAAAAAAAAGGAAAGUGACACAAUUUAUUAAGGACUGAUGUGCAGCCAACCGAACAUUGUAAAUCUAUGGUAGUCAGUGGAAGCCAUUGAAAUCUGCUAAUUUGCUAUGAUAUUGUAUUGUACACGGUGUGGAAUACUGACUCAUUUCCUCUC